CAGUAGCCACGGGAAUACGAAGGGGGCUAGCGUUGCUCGGAAUCACUGGGCGUAAAGGGUGCGUAGGCGGGCCUUUAAGUCAGGGGUGAAAUCCUGGAGCUCAACUCCAGAACUGCCUUUGAUACUGAAGAUCUUGAGUUCGGGAGAGGUGAGUGGAACUGCGAGUGUAGAGGUGAAAUUCGUAGAUAUUCGUAAGAACACCAGUGGCGAAGGCGGCUCACUGGCCCGAUACUGACGCUGAGGCACGAAAGCGUGGGGAGCAAACAGGAUUAGAUACCCCAGUAGUCCCUGUCUCUUAUAC
rnacentral:rRNA from 1 species